CAAACUGCCACUCAGAGAAGCUCCAGAGAAGCAAGGGAAGCCUGGACCAUAUUGCCUUCUAACUGUGAGGCAGGAGUUUGAGAAUGGCUGAGCUGGACAUUAAAGUGUGGAGUUUCUCACAAGGCUACAGUUUGACCAAGGCCAGCAUGGAGGUCAUCUCACUUUUUCACUGCUGUAUCUGGGAAGUUGGCUGCAUUUGUGCUGUGUGGGAAAGAUGGCAAUGGUCAUUUGUCACCUGAUGUGGAGUUUGUGAAUGGAAG
rnacentral:lncRNA from 1 species